GCACGACCUGGGCUCGUAUGUGUGCGAGGCCAACAACGGCAUCCAGCGAUUUCGGGAGAGCACCGAGGUCAUUGUGCAUGAAAAUCCCUUCAUCAGUGUCGAGUGGCUCAAAGGACCCAUUCUGGAGGCCACGGCAGGAGACGAGCUGGUGAAGCUGCCCGUGAAGCUGGCGGCGUACCCCCCGCCCGAGUUCCAGUGGUACAAGGAUGGAAAGGCACUGUCCGGGCGCCACAGUCCACAUGCCCUGGUGCUCAAGGAGGUGACAGAGGCCAGCACAGGCACCUACACCCUCGCCUUGUGGAACUCCGCUGCUGGCCUGAGGCGCAACAUCAGCCUGGAGCUGGUGGUGAAUGGUAGGUCAGGGACGGGAGAGCGCACGGGUGGGCGGCCUGGCAUUGGAGGCCAGCUGACCGGCCAUCUGUGUGCCCACAGUGCCCCCCCAGAUACACGAGAAGGAGGCUUCCUCCCCCAGCAUCUACUCGCGUCACAGCCGCCAGGCCCUCACCUGCACGGCCUACGGGGUGCCCCUGCCUCUCAGCAUCCAGUGGCACUGGCGGCCCUGGACACCCUGCAAGAUGUUUGCCCAGCGUAGUCUCCGGCGGCGGCAGCAGCAAGACCUCAUGCCACAGUGCCGUGACUGGAGGGCGGUGACCACGCAGGAUGCCGUGAACCCCAUCGAGAGCCUGGACACCUGGACCGAGUUUGUGGAGGGAAAGAAUAAGACUGUGAGCAAGCUCGUGAUCCAGAAUGCCAACGUGUCCGCCAUGUACAAGUGUGUCGUCUCCAACAAGGUGGGCCAGGAUGAGCGGCUCAUCUACUUCUAUGUGACCACCAUCCCCGACGGCUUCACCAUCGAAUCCAAGCCAUCCGAGGAGCUACUAGAGGGCCAGCCCGUCCUCCUGAGCUGCCAAGCCGACAGCUACAAGUACGAGCAUCUGCGCUGGUACCGCCUCAACCUGUCCACGCUGCACGAUGCGCACGGGAACCCGCUUCUGCUCGACUGCAAGAACGUGCAUCUGUUCGCCACCCCUCUGGCCGCCAGCCUGGAGGAGGUGGCACCUGGGGCGCGCCACGCCACGCUCAGCCUGAGUAUCCCCCGCGUCGCGCCCGAGCACGAGGGCCACUAUGUGUGCGAAGUGCAAGACCGGCGCAGCCAUGACAAGCACUGCCACAAGAAGUACCUGUCUGUGCAGGCCCUGGAAGCCCCUCGGCUCACGCAGAACUUGACCGACCUCCUGGUGAACGUGAGCGACUCGCUGGAGAUGCAGUGCUUGGUGGCCGGAGCGCACGCGCCCAGCAUCGUGUGGUACAAAGACGAGAGGCUGCUGGAGGAAAAGUCGGGAGUCGACUUGGCGGACUCCAACCAGAAGCUGAGCAUCCAGCGCGUGCGCGAGGAGGAUGCGGGACGCUAUCUGUGCAGCGUGUGCAACGCCAAGGGCUGCGUCAACUCCUCCGCCAGCGUGGCCGUGGAAGGCUCCGAGGAUAAGGGCAGCAUGGAGAUCGUGAUCCUUGUCGGUACCGGCGUCAUCGCUGUCUUCUUCUGGGUCCUCCUCCUCCUCAUCUUCUGUAACAUGAGGAGGCCGGCCCACGCAGACAUCAAGACGGGCUACCUGUCCAUCAUCAUGGACCCCGGGGAGGUGCCUCUGGAGGAGCAAUGCGAAUACCUGUCCUACGAUGCCAGCCAGUGGGAAUUCCCCCGAGAGCGGCUGCACCUGGGGAGAGUGCUCGGCUACGGCGCCUUCGGGAAGGUGGUGGAAGCCUCCGCUUUCGGCAUCAACAAGGGCAGCAGCUGUGACACCGUGGCCGUGAAAAUGCUGAAAGGUGUGGGGUCAGCGGGCAGAAGGGGCAGCCUAGCUGGUGAGGAGCAGCAGCUCUGGGUGGGCCGGUGGGACGGCAACUCGGGAAGGGAAACUGAGGCUGGAAGCCAGUCUCAUCCAAGGUUCUACAGGGAGGCUGCGGGAGUCAGAGGCAAGGUACCACCGGAACCCCCUGCCUCAGUGGGGCCAGCAGGAUGUCCUGGGGACCCUUAGUAACCCUCCCCCUCCCAAAAGCGCUGGCUGUGCCUUAGCUAAGCGGCCAGUGGCGGGGAAGGGGGACCUGCCAGGAUUGGGGCCGAUGUGAGCCCCGUGUCCCCUCCAGAGGGCGCCACAGCCAGCGAGCACCGCGCGCUGAUGUCGGAGCUCAAGAUCCUAAUUCACAUCGGUAACCACCUCAACGUGGUCAACCUCCUCGGGGCGUGCACCAAGCCGAAGGGCCCCCUCAUGGUGAUCGUGGAGUACUGCAAGUACGGCAACCUCUCCAACUUCCUGCGCGCCAAGCGGGACACCUUCAGCCCCUAUGCAGAGAAGUCUCCCGAGCAGCGCGGACGCUUCCGCGCCAUGGUGGAGCUCGCCAGGCUGGAUCGGAGGAGGCCAGGGAGCAGCGACAGGGUCCUCUUCGCACGGUUCUCAAAGAACGAGGGCGGAGCGAGGCGGGCUUCUCCAGACCAGGAAGCUGAGGACCUGUGGCUGAGCCCGCUGACCAUGGAAGAUCUUGUCUGCUACAGCUUCCAGGUGGCCAGAGGGAUGGAGUUCCUGGCUUCCCGAAAGUGCAUCCACAGAGACCUGGCUGCUCGGAACAUUCUGCUGUCGGAAAGCGACGUGGUGAAGAUCUGUGACUUUGGCCUUGCCCGGGACAUCUACAAAGACCCUGACUACGUCCGCAAGGGCAGUGCCCGGCUGCCCCUGAAGUGGAUGGCCCCUGAAAGCAUCUUCGACAAGGUGUACACCACGCAGAGUGACGUGUGGUCCUUUGGGGUGCUUCUCUGGGAGAUCUUCUCUCUGGGUGAGUGCAGGAUGGGGUGCCGGUGGGGAGAGGAGGCGAGGUCACUGGCGGCAGGUUACAUGACCGGCCCUGCUGGAGUAAGGGACUGGGCACCUGGAGGUGUGUGCCAGGUCGUUCUGAAGCAGGUGGUUUGUGGGCCACCAAGGGCCCCCCACCUCUCCCCAGCCUGUCCCAGCCUCCGAGAGGACUUUGCCUCCAACGUGGGCCACCCUCUGUGGGGUGCACAUUGAAGCCUGAGCCACGACUGAGCCUCUUCACAUGGCAGCCCCAGAGGGAGCUCAGAGCCCAGUCAGCGGACGUGCCUACUCCAAGAGCUCCAUGUGGGAACUCAGGCCCCGCUGUGAGCAUGAGGAAGUCUCCAGGCCAGGGUAGGGCAGUGAACUUGAAAAAGUUAAAAUGUCACCAAGUGGCAACUGAUCCACGCUACUGCGGAAACUAAAGGAGCAGGAAGAGUGUAGGAGGCGUGGGAGCUUGGGUAAGCCAGAGGGGCCCAAGGAGGGAGUUCAGCAGUCCAGGAUGGGGAACAGCAGGGGUUGGGAGGAGCAGCAGGGGUUGGGGGGAGCAGCAGGGGUUGGGGGGAGCAGCAGGAGAAGCAGCGAGAGGCAAGAGAGGCUUUGUUGAAACUGCCUGCAGGCGGCUCCCCCGCCGCUGAUGAUCCGGUAACCAUGAUGUCUACCGUGUCGCCAGUGGGUGGAUGCUCUUGGCACCCCUAGCAAGCAGGCGGCACAGUCCUCUUUUAACCAAAUGAACUAGAGCUGGGGAGGGCAGCGACUUGCUCACAGGUCCCAGGUAGAGCACAGUCGGGUGAGCCAUCUCCACCCCACCACGGAUGGGGGAAGCGACAGGAUGGGGUGACUUGGGGGGGAAGGGACAGGACGGGGUGACUUGGGGGGCUGGGCUGAGCCGCAGGAGGCUUGCUCCCCACCCACCUCCCCUUCCUGUUGUCAGGGGCCUCCCCGUACCCUGGGGUGCAGAUCAAUGAGGAGUUCUGCCAGCGGCUGAGAGACGGCACGAGGAUGAGGGCCCCGGAGCUGGCCACUCCCGCCAUACGCCGCGUCAUGCUGAACUGCUGGUCCGGAGACCCCAAGGCGAGACCUGCAUUCUCGGAGCUGGUGGAGAUCCUGGGGGACCUGCUCCAGGGCAGGGGCCUGCAAGAGGAAGAGGAGGUCUGCACGGCCCCACGUGGCUCUCAGAGCUCAGAAGAGGGCAGCUUCUCGCAGGAGUCCACCAUGGCCCUACACAUCGCCCAGGCUGACGCUGAGGACAGCCCGCCAAGCCUGCAGCGCCACAGCCUGGCCGCCAGGUAUUACAACUGGGUGUCCUUUCCCGGGUGCCUGGCCAGAGGGGCUGAGACCCGUGGCUCCUCCAGGAUGAAGACAUUUGAGGAAUUCCCUAUGACCCCAACGACCUACAAAGGCUCUGUGGUACUUCACGUGAAGGGUGGGGGCUGUGCUCUGGGCUCAGGGCUGGGGCCGCCUCAGGGGAGGCAGCGUCAGGAACUCGUAAGGCAAAUGGCAGAACCCAACGACUGUCCUUUGAAAGUGCAAGUCCAGGGAGAGCCUUGGGCACAUUUGGGACCCCCUGCGAUGCCACGACUCACAGCUGCUUUCUGUCCUGUGCCCUCGUCACCCCCACACGAGGCCUCCCCUCCUCAGCAGCGCAGAAACCCCAGUGGAAGGACGGCUGCUCCUCGGUGGCAGGUUCGGGGGUCCCGGGCCUGGUCAGUGAGCGCUGGGCAGAGGGGCCCCAUGGGAGCCCUUGGCCAGACCACAGGGACCUGGGUUCCUGCCUCCAGGGCCACUUGGAGAUGUUGGGGGACUCUGAAAAGAUCGCAGUUUCCCUCCCGUGUAAUUCAAAAUAAAAACCACACCAAGCCACAGUCGAAGGGUAACAAAGCCCCCCAGACCGGAAGGCAGCCUCACAUGGAUCGUUUUUUUGAACUACGAGCUGCCAGGUUGUGAGGCCUCUCCCUGCUUCUCCCACGGCUCCUGCUCUUCACACACUGAGCAUAUGCUUGGCCACCGUGGAGGUCCCCCAGUAUGAGGCGUCCACGGGCCACACACAGCCCCCCGACCUCAGUGUCUCCCUCCGUGGCAGGGGCAUGUGACCCUCACCCUGGGAUGGAAUGGACGCCUUGUUUCUGGCUCAGCUUCCCAGGGACAGGUGUUAGGUCAGCCGUGCUGCAGGGCCAUGCUGCACUUCCCUGGCUGGGGGCGGCUGCCCUGCAGGAGGGCCUCAGGCGGGACCCACAGCCUGGCUUGUCCUCUCCACACAGGACAACCAGACAGACAGUGGGAUGGUGCUGGCCUCGGAGGAGUUUGAGCAGAUAGACAGCAGGCAUAGACAAGAAAGCGGCUUCAGGUAGCUGAAGCAGAGAGAGAGAAGGCAGCAUUCGUCAGCAUUUUCUUCUCUGCACUUAUAAGAUCAAAGACUUAAAGACUUUCGCUAUUUCUUCUACCGCUAUCUACUGCAAACUUCAAAGAGGAACCAGGAGUACGGGAGGAGCAUGAAAGUGGACAAGGAGUGUGAUCAUUGAAGCACCACAGGGAGGGGUUAGGCCUCCGGAUGACUGCGGGCCAGGCCUGGAGAACAUCCAGCCUCCCACAAGAAGCUGGUGGAGCAGUGUUCCCUGACUCCUCCAAGGAAAGGGAGACGCCCUUUCAUGGUCUGCUGAGU
rnacentral:sRNA from 1 species